GUUUUUGACAUUUUAUUGAAUAACAAAUCAAAGAGGCAAUCGCAAGGACAGCUACGUGUCUGGUCCCGAUUUCCAACAUCUGGCGUAGCCACGACAACAAGCGAAGCCUUCGGCUGAAAGUCACCAGUUAAACCGGUCACCACUUGAACUGAAACACCGGAUAAGUACCAACACUCCUCGGCUCAGCUACAAACCUCGGACAAGCCAGCUGCUUCUCUCAAUGGAUGUUGCCUGCCAUACAGACUACCUGGAAACACAUACUGUAGCCAUACGGCUAUCCUUAAAGACUUUGCUGCCCCAUUUUACAAGUGAAGUUAGAGUCUGCGUGUGGACGCCCCUGGCUCCUCCCACAUGUCCAGUUACAGCGGUGAGCUGCGGAUCCUGAGUGUCUACGGAAAAGGGGAGGGCCCACUGGCGGUGGACGGCCAUGACACCCUCUUCACCGCGUCCGAAGUGGAGGCCCUGAACUCGCUGUCUGCGGACCACAGCGCGGCCAAGAGCCUGGAGCGCGGCG